GGCACGCUACCGAGCUCCGUCACAAGAUCCUACAGAGUUGUCAAUCAAAGCAAACCCAUGCCACAUCUGCUGCGGAGCUGCUGUGUAAUCCCUGACCAGGCUCCAGGAUGUGCUGUCGUCUGAGGCCAAAGACGUGGACUCAGAUGCUGGCGGGGCCCCCGGUAUGCGGAAUCCACUGCAGUCUGAAAUGCUAAUCGCUAAUGCUGCUCUGUGACCUGCAGGAAAUGUCAUUUCAGAAAAGGGACAGGGCACUUUGGUUAUACAGUGGUAAAAAAGGUUUUUCAAUGCCUCUGCCCACAGCGAUGCUGCCUGAAAAAUGAAGACUUUUUGGGUGACGUAUUGAAGUUAUCACAGCUCUUUCUGUGAUAACACCAAGAUAUGUGGGGAAUCUUACUAAAUCAAUAAGAGGAAUAAGAGUUUGCAAGGCACAAAGCACAGUAGAAUGGGUAUUGAUGGAUGGACCCAAAGUGUCAUAUUGCCUCGGCCUAGUCAUGUCAGAAAGAUUAUACCAAUGUGGAAAACUGAAUACAGGAGCUAAGCAGAGUAUUUGUCAUUGCUAGAGGGUGAUGUUACUAGCUUUCAAUAUGCAACACAAAAGGUGUGAAGUGAAUUUUCUCAACAACAUUUCAAACAUACAAAGCACACAUUCAUUGUAAAAUAAAGUCAACCACAAAUGGCUCCA